GAAGAACGCAGCUAAUUGCGCCGUCAUCAUGUGAACUGCAGGAUACAUGAACAUUGACAUUUCGAACGCACAUUGCGGUCCUCGGAUACUGUUCCCGGACCACCUCUGGCUGAGGGUCGU
rnacentral:rRNA from 1 species